GUCUCGUAAUUAUAUAGAUACUAGUGGUGUGCCCGUGCUACGCGCAGGGCGGCUGUCCUUUGUAGUAAUUUGGGUUUUUUUAUGCAGCAUAGCUUGAUUGAUUGGUGGAUGGUAUUUUGAAAUUUUUAGUUAUAUGUUAGAUGAUGAAGCAAUAUCUGGAUCCAUAGUAUUGCUAAUGGUUUUAUGGUUUAAAUAGCGUAUGUAGAUAGUAAGAAACCUGUGAAUUAUAUAAAAUAGUCCGGCGUUUGUAGUUUAAUUUUAGGAAGUAAAUUUAAUAUUUCUUUUGUCAUGUAUUAAUUGUUUGUCUUUAUUGAUGUUAUUUUUAUAUAAUAAAAUAAUGGUGUGAAUGGAAAAUAUUUAUUAAUGAAGAUAAAUUAUUAGUUAUUUUGUCUGGAUAUGAAAAACCAAAGUAGAAAAUACUACAUAAAUAAAAUUGGAAAUUAAAACCUGAUAUUCCAUGUUAUUAAUCAUAUUGAGGGUGGAAUCAUAUAUAACUUUCCCUACAUAUUGGGCAGUUUUUGUCUGUACGAAGCCAUUGAUCAAUGCAUGUAAAAUGCAAAUUAUGACCGCAAGUAAGAGAGCAAAGUUUGUUUCCAUAGUUGUAAUUUCCGAAGCAUAUAGUGCAUAUAUCGUUUUCUUCUUCUGUAGUUGGAGGCCUGUUUGUUUCCUCUAGAUCUGUGAUGAUAAGAUUGAGAUCAAGUCUUGCAGUCGCAUUUUGGUUGUAGUCCUAAAUGGUAAGAGUAACUUGGAGAUCAUCACUUAUGGUAUAGUAUCUGUUUGGCAGUUUAUUCAUCAUGUAUUCAGUAGUCUCUUGAAUAAGCAAGGUUGAUUGGGGUGGUGAAUGUGAUGGUAUGUUAGCAUGAAUUCCAUGUACUCAGUUGUUGUUGAGUAUUUUAAAUUACUUUGAUUGUCAAUGAUAGACGGUCGCUGAAAAUCAAUGAUGGAUUGUUGUGUGUUGGGCCUGUGGAUGUAGACUUGUAGUGUUUGCCGUGGGUUUGCUCAUAUCGAUUCUGUUUGGUGUGAGAACUGAUAAGAGAUAAGUGGUUUGUUAUUCAUGGUGUAGUAUUUUGUGUGAGGAUAUGUUGUUAUAGCUAUGUCUUAUAGAAUGUCUGUUUAAGUUUUUUUUUUCGUUAAUUCUUCAACUGUUUAGUUCAAAUGUCCAUUUAUUCUAGGGGCGUUAACAUUUCGAGUCAGUGGUUUGUGAUAAGUUUGCUGCUUUGUCUACGUUGUGUUGUUACUUAUUUCCAAGACCAUGUAUAAUGAUGUGUAGUGUAUAUUUGUAAGAGAUCUGGAUAAUAUUAGUUAUUUUUUGUAUUUGCAUAAUUCUCAUAAUAAGGUUUUCCUUAUUAUAAUAGAUGUUCGUUAGGAAAUAUAUGUGUUUAUUUUGCAGACGGUGUGCCCGCGUCAGUUAUACUGAGAACUCACACACUUUUAUGUUUCAUGUAGUGUAGUUUUUAUAUAUGUAGGUUUUGUUUUGGUUUUUGUGAGAUAGAAUGAGGGGAUUUUUUUUUUAUAAUUUGAUAAUGAAUAUAAACAAAAAGUAUGGACCAAUAAAUAAACAUAAAGAUCCAAAAAAUUAUCAUAAAACCCAACUAAUCAGCGAGUUAGAAACACCAAAGAGAAAAGAAGAAGAAGAUCCGCGAAUUAGAAACAAAAGCAAAAAGAAGUAGAUGUUUCUCUGCUCGACAUGUGUCGUAAAAUGAGGAUAAGAUGGAUGACGUGGCGCUUUGUGGAGCAUUUCUCUUCAACUUUAUUAGUAUAGAUUCUGUAUUAUUUUGCUGAUACAAACAAUAAUAUACACAUGAUUGCUUAGUGUAUUUAUUGGAAGAGAACACAUAGUCAUAUAGAUAUCAUGUUUGAAAAAUAUAUUAUUAACUAUAAUUACGAAUCUUUCUUGUAAGCAGAAAAUUUCAACUUUGAAAAUAUACAGAUAUCAAAUAUAUUAGUAUAAUCAAGUUUAUUAUUCUAUAGUGAAACAUGUUAAAACACAAUGUUAGUUUACGAUAUAAAAAUGAUAAAUCACUUUUAUAUUCCUUUUAGUUUAAAUAUAAAUAACUUGUUAAAAUUGGUAAUGAUAUUUUAUUCAUUUAAAACAUAUUUAUGUGUGUAUGUAAGUUAAAAUAUGCUGGGAUCUACAUAUAUGUUGAGCCUUCACCGGAAGAGAAAAUAAAACUAAUUAUAUAUAUGUAAAAUAUAUUAGAAUAAUAGAAUUAUUAUUUGUUAUAAAAUUUCUUGUUAAUUGUUUGUAGUAUAAAAAGUGAAAAAUGACUUCAAAUAUUCUUGUAAUUUUAUAUUAUUAAAUCUUAAUUUUGUUUGGCACAAUCUGAACUCUUCAAAAAAUAAAGAUCAUAUUUUAUAUUUAUUUGAAACAUAUUUAUGUUUAUUUCAGUUUCCAAAUUAAAAUAUUAAACAAUGUGGUAUAAAUAAAUAUGGUGAUUUAUCAUCACCAAAAUGAGAAAUGUAAUUAGAAGAUGAUUAGAAUGAAAUUUAAAUGGUUUGUUCUAUAUAUGAUCCAAAUAAUAAUAAUAUAAGAGAAGUGAAACAAUUCAUAAUCUUAAAAUAAGUGUGAUUUGUUAAUUUUUGGUGCACCACUUUUAUUUGAGUUCAUUAUUUAUUACAACAUCUCUAACUCAACUCCAAAACUCUAUUUUAGUGUGAUUUUAUACAAAACUUCUUCAACUCAAAACCAAAAUAAACAAUAGUUUAGUGCAACACUAUAGUUUUAGAUUAAAUUUGUGACACUAUUCAUCACAAAAUUAAUAUUCACUUAUUUUAUUAAAAAUAUAUAGUUAGCCAGGUGAAAAAAAUAAGAAAAUUAAAUUAAAAAUUAAAUUAAAUUAAAAAUUAAAUUAAGUUAAAAAUUAAAUUAAAUAUUAUAAUAAAUAUUAUAUGUAUUCAAAUAAUUUAUUUUAAUCUGUUAUUUAAAUAUUACUAUAUAUUGAAUUAGUAGAAAUUUGAUAUAGAUUUUUAUUGUAAUCUAUUUUUAUGUAGUAUAAGUAUAUAAUAAAUAUUAUUUAUAUUUUAGUCACUAAAAAAUAACAAUACUUGUAAUUUAAUAAAAUAAUAAUAUCAAAAAAUUAGUGUGAAGUUUAAUAUUGUGGUUGGAGAAGAAAACAGUUUGAGAAAUUGUUUGACAUACUCUAAGUUGGAUACCAUUUUAAAAAAUACACAAUAAAAAAAUACUUUAACAUUUGGAUUUAGGGUUUACUGAUUAUUGUUUAUGGUUUAGUAUAGGGGGUGGGAUUGUAUUUAUAAACUUAUAUUAUUUUUAUACAUUUAUAAAUAAAGUAACUUUUAGUUUUAUCUUUUUCAUAAUAAACUUAAUGUAUUUAUGAAAAUAAUUAUUAAUUAAUGGUAAAUUAGAAGAUUAGCUCUUUUAUCGCCGAAAAGAUGCUUUCGAAAUGCAUUCCCUAUGGACUGCAAAUAAACUUUAUCAAAUUUGCGGUAAAGUUAGAAUUUCCCCUAAAAUGCUUUAGUGCUGAUAUUAUUCUAAAAUAGUAAAAUUUUGACAUGAAAAUAGUAUUAUGGGUUGGAGAUUUCCUUGAAAAAUUACACAUCUUAGUAUAUAUAAUUCUUAACCCAGUUUUACUAACAAAAAGUAUUGUACAGUUUAGAAAAUCUACAAAAUGUUUUCAUUAAACUUUUUAUUUCUAUUUUUAAUUCUUAUUGAAACGCCAGAAUAUGUAAAUAAGGAUUUUGAAAAUAUAUAAACACGUGUUGGUGUGACUUUAGUCAUGGAAAGGUUUCCUGCACAAGUGCGUUAAGCGUUCGCAAUAGUUCCGUAUAACAGUGCAUUUGAAUAAAUAGUCUUUCAUUGUGGAUUUUGUCGGAACUUCUUAAGAAAAACAUUACUUGAAAGAUCUAUUAUGUAUGUCCCUCUUGGUAAGACCUACUUAAAGAUAAAGAGACUGUUACAUUAGAUUAGAACCAUUACAUUCUUUUUACCACGUGUAUCUUUUAAUUUGAAGGAGGAAAACAGUGGAGAAGAACA